CCAAUAGCGUAUAUUAAAGUUGUUGCAGUUAAAAAGCUCGUAGUUGAAUUUUGGAUUCUGCCAGUUGGUCCAUCUUUUGAUGAGUACUGAUUGUGCGGGGUCUAUCCGCCUGGGGAGACGUAAUGUACUUUAUUGUAUGUUGCGGGUAGCCAGGACCUUUACCUUGAAAAAAUUAGAGUGUUUAAAGCAGGCUUAUGCCGGAAUACAUUAGCAUGGAAUAAUAGAAUAGGACGAUGUUGUUUUAUUUUGUUGGUUUCUAGGACAACCGUAAUGAUUAAUAGGGAUAGUUGGGGGCAUUAGUAUUCAAUUGUCAGAGGUGAAAUUCUUGGAUUUAUUGAAGACUAACUACUGCGAAAGCAUUUGCCAAGGAUGUUUUCAUUAAUCAAGAACGAAAGUUAGGGGAUCGAAGACGAUCAGAUACCGUCGUAGUCUUAACCAUAAACUAUGCCGACUAGGGAUCGGGCGAUGUUGUUUCCAUGACUCGCUCGGCACCUUAUG
rnacentral:rRNA from 1 species